GCUACGGAUAGAACCGUUUGGCUCUAUGGUAGGAGAGCGUUCUAAUGGCUUGGAAGCCUGACCGUGAGGACAGGUGGAGCGAUUAGAAGUGAGAAUGCCGGUAUGAGUAGCUAAACACGGGUGAGAAUCCCGUGCACCUAACGACUAAGGUUUCCAGGGGAAGGCUCGUCCGCCCUGGGUUAGUCGGGACCUAAGCUGAGGCCUAAAGGCGUAAGCGAUGGUCAACAGGUAGAGAUUCCUGUACCCGUCUUCUUUGUCUGACCGAUGGAGGGACGCAGGAGGCUACGAUGUGCACACUGUUGGAUAUGUGUGUUCAAGCAGCGAGUCUAGACAAGAGUCAAAUGCUUUUGUCUGUACAGACGAGUUGUGAUGAGGAGGGAAAUCAAGUACCGAAGCAUCCGAUGUCACACUGCCUAGAAAAGCUUCUAGGAAGAAGAAGACGGCCCGUACCGCAAACCGACACAGGUAGUCGAGGAGAGCAUCCUAAGGUGAUCGAGCGAACUCUCGUUAAGGAACUCG
rnacentral:rRNA from 1 species